AGCCUGGGAAGACAAACGAGAUCUUCUGACACCUCGUAUGAGAGCUGAACAGCAGCUCCUGAUUCUGACGUCAAUCUGAGGCUC